rfam:Gossypium arboreum cultivar AKA8401 contig_4006_1, whole genome shotgun sequence.
AUCCCAUGAUGAAUACACUUAAGAAUUAACAACUUGAAUCACUCCCAAGCCUCAUAUAAUGCCUCGUCAUCUAAUUGUUGGAAAGUUGUGAUCUCGUUCCUUAACUU